GGGAAGAAUGACUUAGGCAGCCCCAAGAGCCUCCCUCCUUCCUGCCCACAAGGCCCAGUUUCCCCAUGAUGAUUCAGGCCCUGGGGUGUGGCAUGCACCACUCUGGGAGUUCCUCUUUCUAAAAAUGCUACUCUUUAGAAGUCAUGCUGUCCCUACAUGGAAACCCUUCUAUGCUCCCCGUGGUCUGCAGGAUCAAGUCCAAGCCACGCAGUGAGUGACGAAGCCUCGGUCCCUGUGCCACCUCGGCAGCCUCAGCCCCUCUGAGAACGCCUGGAGACACAGCCUGUCCUGAGGGCAGGGCCUGGCUCACCGAGGCCUCCCCUCCCCUCAAGCAGAACUUGCUGCUCCCCAAAGAUUCCACCCCGCAGGCUGCGGCAAGCUCCAGGCCCCUCACUCAAACGAGGUCCGGACACACCGACCUACAGUUAACCUGCUGAUGCCAGGCGGUGGCCUCUGCCCAUGCCAGCUGUGACCGGGGCAAGGCGGCAACCUUGCUGUGCCUCUGUCUCCUCCCAUCUCAGGGUCCUGGUGAGGCCACCGGACCUCUGGGAAGGGCCAGCCUGCACUUCUCCCGUUACUGCUGCUGGAGGACACCGAGACUUCGCCCAGGCGUCCCCAUCCCCCUGUGCUGCCCAGCACCCAUAGUGGGGGAGGAGUGUAAGGCACAGACUUGGGGCAGGCACGUGCCCCUCGCAGGUGGACACAGAGGCUCAGGAAGGACGCUCGCUUGUGGUGCCCGCCAGGUGCUGCACAUGGCCCAAGUUCCCAGGCGGCUCCCUCCUUCCUUCCGAGUUGGCCGUUACCACAGUGUCACUGGGGAAGCCGGAGCCAGGCCUCUCCUGCCGCCCCAAAGAUGCAUAAGCUUCCAGAAGCCAACCCAGUCCACCCACUUCCCACCAGGGAAGGAUCUCCGCCUCCAGUCACCAAUGCCCUCACCCUGUGGCCAGGCCACUGCCUCCUGCCGACGGCACCCAGCCUCACCCCCAGCUGCCCGCCAGUGAGCAUCGGUGCCCUAGGGUUGGUGGGAAGCUGUCACCGGGCACAGAAGCCACAGUGGGCUUGGGCCAUGGAAGCCACAGCCUGCCCCAGUCCUGCAAGUCCUCUGCUCUAGGCACAGCGAGGCUGGGCCCUGGCAGCCCGAGGCUCCGUCCACCCCAGCGACCUUCUCCACUCUUGGUGGUUAGGAAGCUCUGACCCUCCAGGGCCUGACGAUGGACAAUGGCACACAACCUCCGAGAGCAGCAGG
rnacentral:lncRNA from 1 species